UUAAGCGACUAAGCGUACACGGUGGAUGCCCUGGCAGUCAGAGGCGAUGAAGGACGUGCUAAUCUGCGAAAAGCGUCGGUAAGGUGAUAUGAACCGUUAUAACCGGCGAUGUCCGAAUGGGGAAACCCAGUGUGAUUCGUCACACUAUCGUUAACUGAAUACAUAGGUUAACGAGGCGAACCGGGGGAACUGAAACAUCUAAGUACCCCGAGGAAAAGAAAUCAACCGAGAUUCCCCCAGUAGCGGCGAGCGAACGGGGAGCAGCCCAGAGUCUGAAUCAGCUUGUGUGUUAGUGGAACGGUCUGGAAAGUCCGACGGUACAGGGUGAUAGUCCCGUACACCAAAAUGCACAGGCUGUGAACUCGAAGAGUAGGGCGGGACACGUGGUAUCCUGUCUGAAUAUGGGGGGACCAUCCUCCAAGGCUAAAUACUCCUGACUGACCGAUAGUGAACCAGUACCGUGAGGGAAAGGCGAAAAGAACCCCGGCGAGGGGAGUGAAAAAGAACCUGAAACCGUGUACGUACAAGCAGUGGGAGCACCUUCGGGUGUGACUGCGUACCUUUUGUAUAAUGGGUCAGCGACUUAUAUUCUGUAGCAAGGUUAACCGUAUAGGGGAGCCGCAGGGAAACCGAGUCUUAACUGGGCGUUAAGUUGCAGGGUAUAGACCCGAAACCCGGUGAUCUAGCCAUGGGCAGGUUGAAGGUUGGGUAACACUAACUGGAGGACCGAACCGACUAAUGUUGAAAAAUUAGCGGAUGACUUGUGGCUGGGGGUGAAAGGCCAAUCAAACCGGGAGAUAGCUGGUUCUCCCCGAAAGCUAUUUAGGUAGCGCCUCGUGAAUUCAUCUUCGGGGGUAGAGCACUGUUUCGGCUAGGGGGUCAUCCCGACUUACCAACCCGAUGCAAACUACGAAUACCGAAGAAUGUUAUCACGGGAGACACACGGCGGGUGCUAACGUCCGUCGUGAAGAGGGAAACAACCCAGACCGCCAGCUAAGGUCCCAAAGUCAUGGUUAAGUGGGAAACGAUGUGGGAAGGCACAGACAGCCAGGAUGUUGGCUUAGAAGCAGCCAUCAUUUAAAGAAAGCGUAAUAGCUCACUGGUCGAGUCGGCCUGCGCGGAAGAUGUAACGGGGCUAAACCAUGCACCGAAGCUGCGGCAGCGACACUAUGUGUUGUUGGGUAGGGGAGCGUUCUGUAAGCCUGCGAAGGUGACCUGUGAGGGUUGCUGGAGGUAUCAGAAGUGCGAAUGCUGACAUAAGUAACGAUAAAGCGGGUGAAAAGCCCGCUCGCCGGAAGACCAAGGGUUCCUGUCCAACGUUAAUCGGGGCAGGGUGAGUCGACCCCUAAGGCGAGGCCGAAAGGCGUAGUCGAUGGGAAACAGGUUAAUAUUCCUGUACUUGGUGUUACUGCGAAGGGGGGACGGAGAAGGCUAUGUUAGCCGGGCGACGGUUGUCCCGGUUUAAGCAUGUAGGCUGGUUGUCCAGGCAAAUCCGGAUAAUCAAGGCUGAGGUGUGAUGACGAGGCACUACGGUGCUGAAGUAACAAAUGCCCUGCUUCCAGGAAAAGCCUCUAAGCAUCAGGUAACAUUAAAUCGUACCCCAAACCGACACAGGUGGUCAGGUAGAGAAUACCAAGGCGCUUGAGAGAACUCGGGUGAAGGAACUAGGCAAAAUGGUGCCGUAACUUCGGGAGAAGGCACGCUGGUGUGUAGGUGAAGUCCCUGCGGAUGGAGCUGAGACCAGUCGAAGAUACCAGCUGGCUGCAACUGUUUAUUAAAAACACAGCACUGUGCAAACACGAAAGUGGACGUAUACGGUGUGACGCCUGCCCGGUGCCGGAAGGUUAAUUGAUGGGGUUAUCCGUAAGGAGAAGCUCUUGAUCGAAGCCCCGGUAAACGGCGGCCGUAACUAUAACGGUCCUAAGGUAGCGAAAUUCCUUGUCGGGUAAGUUCCGACCUGCACGAAUGGCGUAAUGAUGGCCAGGCUGUCUCCACCCGAGACUCAGUGAAAUUGAACUCGCUGUGAAGAUGCAGUGUACCCGCGGCAAGACGGAAAGACCCCGUGAACCUUUACUAUAGCUUGACACUGAACAUUGAGCCUUGAUGUGUAGGAUAGGUGGGAGGCUUUGAAGCGUGGACGCCAGUCUGCGUGGAGCCAACCUUGAAAUACCACCCUUUAAUGUUUGAUGUUCUAACGUUGGCCCCUUAUCGGGGUUGCGGACAGUGUCUGGUGGGUAGUUUGACUGGGGCGGUCUCCUCCCAAAGCGUAACGGAGGAGCACGAAGGUUAGCUAAUCCUGGUCGGACAUCAGGAGGUUAGUGCAAUGGCAUAAGCUAGCUUGACUGCGAGCGUGACGGCGCGAGCAGGUGCGAAAGCAGGUCAUAGUGAUCCGGUGGUUCUGAAUGGAAGGGCCAUCGCUCAACGGAUAAAAGGUACUCCGGGGAUAACAGGCUGAUACCGCCCAAGAGUUCAUAUCGACGGCGGUGUUUGGCACCUCGAUGUCGGCUCAUCACAUCCUGGGGCUGAAGUAGGUCCCAAGGGUAUGGCUGUUCGCCAUUUAAAGUGGUACGCGAGCUGGGUUUAGAACGUCGUGAGACAGUUCGGUCCCUAUCUGCCGUGGGCGCUGGAGAAUUGAGGGGGGCUGCUCCUAGUACGAGAGGACCGGAGUGGACGCAUCACUGGUGUUCGGGUUGUCAUGCCAAUGGCACUGCCCGGUAGCUAAAUGCGGAAGAGAUAAGUGCUGAAAGCAUCUAAGCACGAAACUUGCCCCGAGAUGAGUUCUCCCUGAGACUUUAAGUCUCCUGAAGGAACGUU
rnacentral:rRNA from 1 species